CCUACGGGUGGCAGCAGUGAGGAAUAUUGGUCAAUGGACGAGAGUCUGAACCAGCCAAGUAGCGUGAAGGAUGACUGCCCUAUGGGUUGUAAACUUCUUUUAUAUGGGAAUAAAAUGUUCCACGUGUGGGAUUUUGUAUGUACCAUAUGAAUAAGGAUCGGCUAACUCCGUGCCAGCAGCCGCGGUAAUACGGAGGAUCCGAGCGUUAUCCGGAUUUAUUGGGUUUAAAGGGAGCGUAGGUGGAUUGUUAAGUCAGUUGUGAAAGUUUGCGGCUCAACCGUAAAAUUGCAGUUGAAACUGGCAGUCUUGAGUACAGUAGAGGUGGGCGGAAUUCGUGGUGUAGCGGUGAAAUGCUUAGAUAUCACGAAGAACUCUGAUUGCGAAGGCAGUUCACUGGACUGCAACUGACACUGAGGCUCGAAAGUGUGGGUAUCAAACAGGAUUAGAUACCCGUGUAGUC
rnacentral:rRNA from 1 species